rnacentral:miRNA from 10 species
CUGCUUUUUCAGGCCCUAAUGCCUUUCUCUGUGUUUACGCCUAGAGACGGUCCUUGGGUAGAGGGGGGAGGGGAGGGAGGGAGGGAGGGAGGGAGGGAGG